rnacentral:rRNA from 1 species
AUACAGAGGGUGCGAGCGUUAAUCGGAAUUACUGGGCGUAAAGCGCGCGUAGGCGGCUUGGUCAGUCGGAUGUGAAAGCCCCGGGCUCAACCUGGGAAUGGCAUUCGAUACUGCCAGGCUAGAGUAUGGGAGAGGGAAGUGGAAUUUCCGGUGUAGCGGUGAAAUGCGUAGAUAUCGGAAGGAACACCAGUGGCGAAGGCGACUUCCUGGCCCAAUACUGACGCUGAGGUGCGAAAGCGUGGGGAGCGAACAGGAUUAGAUACCCGAGUAGUCC